rnacentral:rRNA from 1 species
GCAAGUCGAACGCGCUCGAUCUCUUUCGGGAAAUUUAGUAGAGUGGCGCACGGGUGAGUAACGCGUAAGUAAUCUAUCUAGGCAUCUGGGAUAACAAUUCGAAAGGAUUGCUAAUACCGGAUACGUUGGAGACAAGAAAGGUGGCCUCUGUUUCAUGCUACUGUGCUUAGAGGAGCUUGCGUACCAUUAGCUAGUUGGUGGGGUAAUGGCCUACCAAGGCAACGAUGGGUAGCGGGUCUGAGAGGAUGAUC